CUGCCUUAGACCUAGACACCUCCAGUUCUGGGUUUUUAGAGGCCUAUAAACUCAGUUUUCAGACUGUGAGGAAAAUUCUCU
rnacentral:miRNA from 1 species